rnacentral:rRNA from 1 species
GUUCCGUGACUGCGUACCUUUUGUAUAAUGGGUCAGCGACUUACAUUUUGUGGCGAGGUUAACCGAAUAGGGGAGCCGUAGGGAAACCGAGUCUUAACUGGGCGUCCAGUCGCAAGGUGUAGACCCGAAACCGAGUGAUCUAGCCAUGGGCAGGUUGAAGGUUGAGUAACAUCAACUGGAGGACCGAACCGACUAACGUUGAAAAGUUAGCGGAUGACCUGUGGCUGGGGGUGAAAGGCCAAUCAAACUCGGAGAUAGCUGGUUCUCCUCGAAAUCUAUUUAGGUAGAGCCUCGGAUGAAUACCACUGGGGGUAGAGCACUGUUAAGGCUAGGGGGUCAUCCCGACUUACCAACCCUUUGCAAACUCCGAAUACCAGUGAGUACUAUCCGGGAGACACACGGCGGGUGCUAACGUCCGUCGUGGAAAGGGAAACAACCCAGACCGUCAGCUAAGGUCCCAAAGUUUUGGUUAAGUGGGAAACGAUGUGGGAAGGCUCAGACAGCUAGGAGGUUGGCUUAGAAGCAGCCACCCUUUAAAGAAAGCGUAAUAGCUCACUAGUCGAGUCGGCCUGCGCGGAAGAUGUAACGGGGCUAAAACUAUGUGCCGAAGCUGCGGAUUUGAC